rnacentral:rRNA from 1 species
UACGAGGGGGGCUAGCGUUGAUCGGAUUUACUGGGCGUAAAGCGCAUGUAGGCGGGUCGUUAAGUUGGGGGUGAAAUCCCGAGGCUCAACCUCGGAACUGCCUUCAAAACUGGCGGCCUGGAGCAAGAUAGAGGCAAGUGGAAUUGCGAGUGUAGAGGUGAAAUUCGUAGAUAUUCGCAGGAACACCAGUGGCGAAGGCGACUUGCUGGAUCUUUGCUGACGCUGAGAUGCGAAAGCGUGGGGAGCAAACAGG